GUCUACGGCCAUGCCACCCUGAACAAGCCCGAUCCUGUCUGAUCUUGGAAGCUAAGCAGGGUCGGGCCUGGUUAGUCUUUGGAUGGGAGACCACCUAGGAAGACCAGGUGCUGUAGGUG
rnacentral:rRNA from 1 species